rnacentral:rRNA from 1 species
GACGAACGCUGGCGGCGUGCUUAACACAUGCAAGUCGAACGGUAAGGCCCUUCGGGGUACACGAGUGGCGAACGGGUGAGUAACACGUGGGUGAUCUGCCCUGCACUUCGGGAUAAGCCUGGGAAACUGGGACUAAUACCGGAUAGGACCACUGCCUGCAUGGGUGGUGGUGGAAAGCUUUUGCGGUGUGGGAUGGGCCCGCGGCCUAUCAGCUUGUUGGUGGGGUGAUGGCCUACCAAGGCGACGACGGGUAGCCGGCCUGAGAGGGUGACCGGGCACACUGGGACUGAGCUACGGCCCAGACUCCUACGGGAGGCAGCAGUGGGGAAUAUUGCACAAUGGGCGCAAGCCUGAUGCAGCGACGCCGCGUGAGGGAUGACGGCCUUCGGGUUGUAAACCUCUUUCAGCACCGACGAAGCGCAAGUGACGGUAGGUGCAGAAGAAGGACCGACCAACUACGUGCCAGCCGCCGCCGUAA